rnacentral:rRNA from 1 species
GACGAACGCUGGCGGCGUGCUUAACACAUGCAAGUCGAGCGGUAAGGCCCUUUCGGGGGUACACGAGCGGCGAACGGGUGAGUAACACGUGGGUGACCUGCCCUCAGCUCUGGGAUAAGCCUGGGAAACCGGGUCUAAUACUGGAUAUGACUCCAUGACGCAUGUUGUGGGGUGGAAAGCCCUGUGCGGCUGAGGAUGGGCCCGCGGCCUAUCAGCUUGUUGGUGGGGUGAGGCCUACCAAGGCGACGACGGGUAGCCGGCCUGAGAGGGCGACCGGCCACACUGGGACUGAGACACGGCCCAGACUCCUACGGGAGGCAGCAGUGGGGAAUCUUGCGCAAUGGGCGAAAGCCUGACGCAGCGACGCCGCGUGAGGGAUGACGGCCU